UAAUUGAAUAAGAUAUUAAGUGCGAUAAUUAAAAUAUCGUUAAAAGGGAAUUAAGUGAAAAUCUUAAACGAUCCGGUCGCUGUAAAUGAUAGUAUGUUUAAUUAUGCCAUUGCUAAUGCGAGAAGGCUAAACAUAUGUUAUACAUAAGUCAGAAAACCUGCUUAAUAUUUGAAUUUAUU
rnacentral:ncRNA from 2 species